rnacentral:tRNA from 2 species
GCGGUCGUGGCCGAGUGGUUAAGGCGAUUGACUAUAAAUCCAUUGGGGUCUCCCCGCACAGGUUCGAAUCCUGUCGACUGUG